UGGGGUGUGGCUCAGUGGUAGAGUGCUUGCCUCACAUGUGUGAGGCACUGGGUUCAAUUCUCAGCACCACAU
rnacentral:tRNA from 1 species